rnacentral:miRNA from 1 species
AAAUGGAAAAAAAAGGGCUGGGGAUGUGGCUCGGUUGUUAAGUGGUACCAAAAAUAAAUAAACAAAUAUAUAUAUGUGUGUGUAUGUGUACAUAUAUGUAUAUUCCAUUGAUCCCAAGGAUUCUCUACCACUGAGCUACAUCCCCAGCCCCUUUUUAAAUUACUUUU